CUGGGCUAGGCUCUAAAAGCUGAUGGGCUUGAACUAGUGAAUUGAGAGAAGUUCAGAGAUCUGAACCCAUAUCAUCCUCGGAUUGGGCCUAGGGCCCUCAUCUGGCCCAAAUCUUACUUAGGGAACCGGUUCGGACCCAGCUAAACGGGUCUGGCCGACCCGCUUCAAAAAUCUUUCCCUAACCUACCGUUUACCUCUGGAUCUUGAACUUCCAGAGCCUUCACUCUCUCUCACACCCGAGCCUCCAUGGCCCAGUACCCGAACUCGUCACUCCGAUCACCAGCACCACCACUUCGGUGGUCUUCUCCAUCUCCGAACCAAGUCUCUCAACCUCGAAAUCUCUCUCUACUCCUCGGAUCUGAACCGUCUCUCUGUCUCAGACCACCAUGGCCGAAGCCUCUCAAACUCAUCACCGCCAACAACGGCGGUGGUUUCACAUCUCAGUCUCAACUUCUCUCUAAAACCGAAACCUAUAACCUAGCUCGCUCUGGAUCGGUCUCACCCUCUCUUCGAUCUAAACGAGGCACAGCCUCCUAGCUCCGUCGUGAAGCCCAGCCGCCACCACCACGAUGGUGGUUCCCAACCUCUCAUCCUUUCUCUCUCUAAACCCGAGCCUAACCCUUCAUUUUUAUCCGAUCUCUCUCUCUAAAACCUAGAACUCAACUUCUCGAUCUACCACCUAGGAGAGCCCCAAACGGCGCGUGGAACAUGAAUCGGUGUUGUGUAGGUUGUUAAAGCCUUCACGGAUCUGCCAAGGACCGUGGCCGCGGUGACGCGUGAGAUCACAUGUGGUGGCGCGUGAGCGCGUGAACAACACAGGUAUGACCGAGGGUAAGGCUAAACCUAAAAGCAAUAGAGUUUAAGAACAAACCAAUUCCAAACUAUGACAAAUUGGUUGAGCUUUAUGGAAAAGAUAGAGAAACUGGGAAACAAACCAAGAUUGUGGUAAAUGUUCAUGGGAUUUUUUUUUCUUUGUAUUUUGGAUUUCAUGCUCUUUUGUUUUUCCAUGUUCUAUUUGAGGGCUACAUUGUGUUUUGCAGAUAAAUUUGGUCUUGUUUACACAAUAAAAACAUCCACAGGAAUUGUAAUCA